AACGAACGCUGGCGGCGUGCUUAACACAUGCAAGUCGAACGAGAAACGGAUUUAGCUUGCUAAAUUGCAGUCUAAGUGGCGCACGGGUGAGUAAUGUAUAGGUAAUAUGCCUCUUACUAAGGGAUAACAAUUGGAAACGAUUGCUAAUACCUUAUAUGCCUUUAAUACGAAAGUAUGCAAGGGAAAGAUUUAUUGGUAAGAGAUUAGCCUGUAUGGUAUCAGCUUGUUGGUGAGGUAAUGGCUCACCAAGGCUAUGACGCCUAACUGGUUUGAGAGGAUGAUCAGUCACACUGGAACUGAGACACGGUCCAGACUCCUACGGGAGGCAGCAGUGGGGAAUAUUGCACAAUGGACGAAAGUCUGAUGCAGCAACGCCGCGUGGAGGAUGACACAUUUCGGUGCGUAAACUCCUUUUAUAUAGGAAGAUAAUGACAGUACUAUACGAAUAAGCACCGGCUAACUCCGUGCCAGCAGCCGCAGUAA
rnacentral:rRNA from 1 species